GAAGAAGCAGCAGGACUGGCGCUAAGAUGACGGACCAAGAAAGUACGGUACAAAGCCAGGUCCAGUUAGCGGAUAUUCUAAACAGAAGGUUAAGUUCUCCAGGGACGGUCAGAGGCAGUUAGACAGGAUAAUGCAAGACAGUCUGUUGAGGGACAGACAACCCAAAUGGGGACAGCUUCACAGUCAGGACAACUAAUAAGAUGUCCUCAGAGUAGUGGCUCUGGACAGUCAGUGCAUCAAGAAAUGGCGAGGUCUUUUCCUGGACUUUUUCGCAGAGAGGCAAAAGGCAAAAGAUGUUUCGCUCCCUAUGCACGACUACAAAAAGGUUUUCUGGUUAACUUUUUCUUACUUGAUAGACAUCGUUCAAAAACACCCAAAGGAGAUGAAGAGCUGCAGCUCAUACUGGCUGGUCUUGGGAAAAGGUCUCUCACGGUAACCGAAAGCUUCACACAUUCCCAGCUGACAGAUUUUCUGCUCAAUGCAUUUCCACGGCUUAGCAGUAUUAAUGGUGGCUGGCUGUUACACAAGUCUACAGGUGGAGGUGGGCAGCGAACAUUAGUUGUCAUUCCUCCCGGUUCUGAUGGAUAUAGUGGGCAGCAGCUAAAAGCAGUCAGUGGAAAUGGAAAAUGUACACUGUACAUAGCCCCUUUACAGGAGGAAAUAGAUACCGCUCCCUUACCACCAGAAGCAAAAGAAUUUGAAAACAUGCCCAAAGCCCCAUGCACCACCUGCAAGAAGAUGGUUCCACUUCAAGCGCUUCCAUUUCACAUUAAGAGCUGCAUAGAUGAGAGUAUUGAUCUGGACAGUUCCCCAGAGAGUGUAUGUCAGUUAUUGGCUGUCAGUAUGUGAACAUUUGCUGUAAUUUUAACAGUUAUUUGGUAUUGUGUGAUUUAGGGAAGCUGCAACCCAGACCACAUGCCUCCAUUAAGCACAGAAUCUCAGACAAAGAUGCUGAGAUGAAAUCUUGAACUGGAUCAGUUGCCAAGUGGAUGAAAGCAGCACCUUUUCCCUCUGCGUUUCAAGAAUCAACCUCUUUAGUCGGGGAAUGCAACCGUGGCAACGCCAAAAGAAAUCUCUUCCAAAUUGCAGAUUGAAAGUUUCUUUUUUUGGAGAAUCUGGCAUUGAUACGGGCGCUCUAAGUAAAGAGUUUCUAACAGAAAUGAUUGCUGAGAUCGAAAAGAAACUAUUUGUGGGCAGUGCUGACAAGAAAGGCAAAAAUCCUCUGUACUGUCUGAACAGCCUGGAUAAGUUAUUUCAGGACUGCAGGACAAGUAAUGGCAGUUAGUAUUGCACAAAGAAGUAGUGAAUGGUGCUACAGAUACCUGUGCUCUGGUGAUUCGGUGAUUCAGACAGCAUACAGGUGUCAAGUAAUGACAUCACAGACUCAGAGCUGUUGCACCUUAUUACAGAGGUAAACAGGGCAACUGAUGAGAACAUUAAUGACCUUAUUGAUGACAUUGUAGGCUGUGGUUAUACUGGAAAAGUGUCUGUGGAUAAAAAAAGACCUUAUUACCAGGGCUGUUGUCCUGCACUCAACAAUGAGACUUGUACCGAUGUUGGAGCAGCUAAGAAAAGGUCUGCGGCUGUACGGCCUCCUUGAGGCCUUUGUCUGCCUCUGUUUGUUCCAGGGGAAGAUGACAGAGUGGAUGCAGCAUUUGUCCUGGAAAGGUUCAAACCCGUAUUCAGUGAGAAGGGUUCUGUGAAAUACAGCAGAGAAAUAAACAUCAUGAACUUUUUUCAAGACUUUCUACAAGAUAUUGAGGACUGUGAACAAGAUGUCCAGUGUGAUGAAGAAAGUGAUGAUCCACAGCAGCUGACUGUUGGGAAAGUCAUGCAGUGGAUGACAGGACAGGCGCACAAACCUGUACUGCCUAGUGAGAAGAAGGAUUUCUUUAUAACUGGGAAAUUCUACCAUGACUGUUUUCCUAUUGUUAGUUCAUGUAGCCGCACCAUUACAUUUCCAGUUGUUCAUCUGACAACCCUGAUCCAGUUCAAAGAAAAUAUGGUAACAUCCUUAACUCAUGAGCAGUCCUUUAAUAGGGCCUGAGACAUUUGGCCUUUUCAUUGAUUCAGUUACUACUUAAAGCCAUAAAUACACAUUUGGUGUUUUUUAUUUUUAUUUACUGCAGGUUUUGUGUGAACAAAAUAAGUUUUUUGGUUUUGAUAGUUCCAUCAAUUUCAUGUAAAAUU